UACGAAGGGGGCUAGCGUUGCUCGGAAUCACUGGGCGUAAAGCGCACGUAGGCGGAUUGCUAAGUCAGGGGUGAAAUCCUGGAGCUCAACUCCAGAACUGCCUUUGAUACUGGCGACCUUGAGUCCGGGAGAGGUGAGUGGAACUGCGAGUGUAGAGGUGAAAUUCGUAGAUAUUCGCAAGAACACCAGUGGCGAAGGCGGACUCACUGGCCCGGUACUGACGCUGAGGUGCGAAAGCGUGGG
rnacentral:rRNA from 1 species